GACGAACGCUGGCGGCGUGCUUAACACAUGCAAGUCGAACGGAAAGGCCCUGCUUUUGUGGGGUGCUCGAGUGGCGAACGGGUGAGUAACACGUGAGUAACCUGCCCUUGACUUUGGGAUAACUUCAGGAAACUGGGGCUAAUACCGGAUAGGAGCUCCUGCUGCAUGGUGGGGGUUGGAAAGUUUCGGCGGUUGGGGAUGGACUCGCGGCUUAUCAGCUUGUUGGUGGGGUAGUGGCUUACCAAGGCUUUGACGGGUAGCCGGCCUGAGAGGGUGACCGGCCACAUUGGGACCGAGAUACGGCCCAGAAUCCUACGGGAGGCAGCAGUUGGGAAUAUUGCACAAUGGGCGGAAGCCUGAUGCAGCAACGCCGCGUGCGGGAUGACGGCCUUCGGGUUUGAAACCGCUUUCGCCUGUGACGAAGCGUGAGUGACGGUAAUGGGUAAAGAAGCACCGGCUAACUACGUG
rnacentral:rRNA from 1 species